rnacentral:rRNA from 1 species
CUUUUACAAUGAAGAGUUUGAUCCUGGCUCAGGAUGAACGCUAGCUACAGGCUUAACACAUGCAAGUCGAGGGGCAGCAUUUUAGUUUGCUUGCAAACUAAAGAUGGCGACCGGCGCACGGGUGAGUAACACGUAUCCAACCUGCCGAUAACUCGGGGAUAGCCUUUCGAAAGAAAGAUUAAUAUCCGAUAGUAUAUUAAAACCGCAUGGUUUUACUAUUAAAGAAUUUCGGUUAUCGAUGGGGAUGCGUUCCAUUAGUUUGUUGGCGGGGUAACGGCCCACCAAGACUACGAUGGAUAGGGGUUCUGAGAGGAAGGUCCCCCACAUUGGAACUGAGACACGGUCCAAACUCCUACGGGAGGCAGCAGUGAGGAAUAUUGGUCAAUGGGCGAGAGCCUGAACCAGCCAAGUAGCGUGAGGGAUGAAGGCUCUAUGGGUCGUAAACCUCUUUUAUAUGGGAAUAAAGUUUUCCACGUGUGGAAUUUUGUAUGUACCAUAUGAAUAAGGAUCGGCUAACUCCGUGCCAGCAGCCGCGGUAAUACGGAGGAUCCGAGCGUUAUCCGGAUUUAUUGGGUUUAAAGGGAGCGUAGGUGGAUUGUUAAGUCAGUUGUGAAAGUUUGCGGCUCAACCGUAAAAUUGCAGUUGAAACUGGCAGUCUUGAGUACAGUAGAGGUGGGCGGAAUUCGUGGUGUAGCGGUGAAAUGCUUAGAUAUCACGAAGAACUCCGAUUGCGAAGGCAGCUCACUAGACUGCAACUGACACUGAUGCUCGAAAGUGUGGGUAUCAAACAGGAUUAGAUACCCUGGUAGUCCACACAGUAAACGAUGAAUACUCGCUGUUUGCGAUAUACAGUAAGCGGCCAAGCGAAAGCAUUAAGUAUUCCACCUGGGGAGUACGCCGGCAACGGUGAAACUCAAAGGAAUUGACGGGGGCCCGCACAAGCGGAGGAACAUGUGGUUUAAUUCGAUGAUACGCGAGGAACCUUACCCGGGCGUAAAUUGGCAAUGAAUAAUCUGGAAACAGGUUAGCCGCAAGGCAUUUGUGAAGGUGCUGCAUGGUUGUCGUCAGCUCGUGCCGUGAGGUGUCGGCUUAAGUGCCAUAACGAGCGCAACCCUUAUCUUUAGUUACUAACAGGUCAUGCUGAGGACUCUAGAGAGACUGCCGUCGUAAGAUGUGAGGAAGGUGGGGAUGACGUCAAAUCAGCACGGCCCUUACGUCCGGGGCUACACAGUGUUACAAUGGGGGGUACAGAAGGCAGCUACUGGCGACAGGAUGCUAAUCCCAAAAACCUCUCUCAGUUCGGAUCGAAGUCUGCAACCCGACUUCGUGAAGCUGGAUUCGCUAGUAAUCGCGCAUCAGCCAUGGCGCGGUUGAAUACGUUCCCGGGCCUUGUACACACCGCCCGUCAAGCAUGAAAGCCGGGGGUACUGAAGUACGUAACCGCAAGGAGCGUCCUAGGGUAAACUGGUAAUUGGGGCUAAGUCGUAACAAGGUAGCACGUACCGGAAGGUGCGGCUGGAACACCUCCUUUCU